UUGGGACUUCCUCAGGGUAGGGAGGAGGGGCAGAAGAGGGCCUGCCUCUGAAAGCCAGCUGCCUCCCUCAACUAAGACUAUGUGAGUCAGAGGAACCGGGAAAGGGAAUAUAAGCUGCCCAUAGCUCAGUGGGCUUGAAGGCCUGAUGUAAACACUCAGAGGGCGGGACCUGCCGGCAGCCUUCUCUUUCUGUGCUUUGUGCUCGGAGUCACCCCCCUAGAGUAAUUUGUAACGGAUCCCCAGGACCUGCUUGGUGUCAGCCUCUGUGCGGCUCCACCUGGAGGGUCUGGGGGAGUAGCGGUGUGUCUUGCUGAGAGGUGCUGUGGGUGAAGAUGGUGAAGGUGAGUCAUCUCCUUGGACAUUUCCAAGACACAAGAUCCAGAGACCUGACUGCUCCAUCCCGAGAGCCAAGAGGUCCUCAGUAGGAGGGGCCACACACGAACACACAGUGUCAACCGAGUGCGCCAGCUGGGAGACAAGUCACGACCCUCUGGGCAGUCUCUGCCCUCCUCUGGACUCUGAAUCCCCACCCGCUGAAGGCAUAAAGAGAUAUUGGAAGCAUCCAUUUCUGCUCAGCAUCUAGCAGAGCCUGGCUCAGAGUGAGUGCUCAGUAAUGCUGGUUGGUGGUGGUUGGUGGCCCCAGUCCUUGCCCACCUGCCAUCCCUCAGCCUCCAGCUUGUGUACCACCCUGCAGACAUGGGAGCCUGUGUGCGCCUUACUAAAGGGCCUGCUUCUCUCUCGUAGCCUCUGUAUUCUCUGCCCAGAAGACCAUCUCUCUUGUGGCCUGAGUCCUCUGGUCUGCUUCUCCACUUCUUUGCUCAAAGAGCUGGUCAUGGCGGAGGUGAAAAAACAAGAUGCAGUUUUCCUCUGCAGAAAGGAGUAUGUUCCAGCCAAGUUGGCUGAUGAGUGAUUUUCUGCAAGUAGAAUAAUUGGACAUGUGUUCCCAUGGCAACAGUGCCUUUCCUGGAAACCGUUUGGAAGGGAAGGCAGGAGGCGAGGGACCAGCUCUGGCUUGCUGGCUGCUUCAGAGCCCUAUGGGGUCGGGCCAGGCAGAGGCUGUGGUGCGGCCCCACCAUCCACCCAUCCCUCACACUGCUGCCCUGGUCCCGGGGCCACAGGAAUCGUUUCCAUGUCCUGCUCAGAGAUGUUCUGAGCUCACACCCACAGUUCCCAGAAUCUGUUGUUUCACCCUUCCCAUGAACACAAAACAUCAUUUAAAAAAAUACAACAUUUUUACAAUGCACGCAUUCGUGAUUUACAGAUGCUCUCAUGAGCACUGCCCUGGGGUGUUCUGAGAAAAGCCUUGGAAGGUUUAUGACGUUACAAUUCCCAUUUUACAG
ensembl:lncRNA